rnacentral:rRNA from 1 species
AUUGAACGCUGGCGGCAUGCCUUACACAUGCAAGUCGAACGGUAACAGGUCUUCGGAUGCUGACGAGUGGCGAACGGGUGAGUAAUACAUCGGAACGUGCCUAGUAGUGGGGGAUAACUACUCGAAAGAGUGGCUAAUACCGCAUGAGAUCUACGGAUGAAAGCAGGGGAUCGCAAGACCUUGUGCUACUAGAGCGGCCGAUGGCAGAUUAGGUAGCUGGUGGGAUAAAAGCUUACCAAGCCGACGAUCUGUAGCUGGUCUGAGAGGACGAUCAGCCACACUGGGACUGAGACACGGCCCAGACUCCUACGGGAGGCAGCAGUGGGGAAUUUUGGACAAUGGGCACAAGCCUGAUCCAGCAAUGCCGCGUGCAGGAUGAAGGCCUUCGGGUUGUAAACUGCUUUUGUACGGAACGAAAAGCCCUGGGUUAAUACCCUGGGGUCAUGACGGUACCGUAAGAAUAAGCACCGGCUAACUACGUGCCAGCAGCCGCAGUAACAC